UCUACAUGUUUUAAUGACUAAAAGUUGCAUACUCUUUAAAAGCUCACCUACUUGUUGUAGAAGCUUUGUUGCAUUCUAGCUAUGCCUUAAUAGACUUUGUAGCAACUUUGUUGCAUUCUAGCUAUGCCUUAAUAGACUCCAUUAGCCUAAAAAGUUAUCUGCACUAUGUAAGGUUGGAUUGAUAGCUUUCCUUAUCAAAAAAAAAAAAAAAUGGUUGGAUUGAUAGCUUAAAAGAAUGGUGGUCAGUCGUGUGGCUUCCCUUCUUGGGUCCUUUUGUAGUUGCUGGUUUGUUCAGGCAUGUAAUAUGACCAUAUCAGGACUGUUUAUUUGUAUCCCCUGGUUUCAUGAAUCCAUAAGUAAAGAAUGCAUAUUUUGGUUGACCUUUCUAGACAGUUUUAGUCUCUUUACUGUCAUACUUUGUUAGAUGCUUUACAUGUUGUCUUGUAGUCUUGAAAAUAAAGGUGUGAACUUGUUUGAACGACCUAUUAUCAUGUUCAAGAGUUUCAAGUUGAAAUCAUAGUUGCUUUAUAUUCUGGAAGUAUUUUAUUUUAAAAGUUGAUGUGCUUUCAGCUGGAUGUUUAAAAUCAUUUGAGUCAUGUAAAAAGUGAUCAGUUGUUCUAAGUCACUAAUCUCAGAUUGUUGUAUUUCUUUCUCUGGUGAAACUUUAAAAUAUAAAAGAAGGCUUUGGAUUUGAUCAAUGGUCUAAAUGUUUGAGAGCUAACUGUUUUUAAGGCUGCAUAUUAGAUUGUUUGAUGUAUGAGAUCUUUAAUGAUUUAACCAAAUUUUGGAAAUAAUUGCUAUUUGUGUGCCUAAUUGUUAAUUACCACAUAUAGCAUUUGAUGGUUUCCAUCUCUAAUUGUUGGGACUGUACAUCUAAUCAUUUGGAGUUGAAGUUUGCAUAUGAACAACAGAUUGUCUGAUAGGCACAACACAAGCAGUAGUUUAACCUGCUGCUGCUCCCAUAUUCUAACUCUGUUACAAAUCAGCCCAACUUCAAGGCCUGCACACCCUUUCACCAUUGUACAGACAUGCUGCUCCUCUGAUGUAUAUCUGAGAGAGGCCAGCAGUAGAAGACUGUUGCUGCUGCCAUAUUCUAACUCCCAUACCUGCAGCAAAAAAACUGCAUUUAUGCACACCUUGUGCCUGUUAGUUUCCAUAAAUCACCUUGUGCACCAACAGCAAUAAUCUGUGCUGGUUUCUGCAUCUGACCAAAAUUAAGCACAAUAUCCAGCAAUACUAUCAGUCUCCAUCUUCCUGCUGAUGUGCCAUUUCUCACACCAGUAGUCUAAAACAGAUCUGCACAUACUCCUUAUUUCUCCAUGUAUUAUUCUGGUGUUUAAUAAACACCUCCAGCCAAGGCUAUGAUGUUAAUGCCAUCACUGCAGCCUUCAAAUUGGUCCUUAUCAAAAUUCCUGGUGAUGUGCAAAGUUCCUCACACCAGCAGCCUAUUUCCAGCAGUCAUUUGAUGUUUAGCAGUCACCUCUAGCCUUCUCAGCAUGUUCACUCCCUCCUCUCUUUUUUUUUUUUUUUUUUUUUUUUUUAAAUCACCAGCAAUCACUGCAGCACAUCCAAGCACAGUCUGAUAGGAUUGUAUUAGUUGCCAACAAAGAAAUUUUGAAGAUUCAAAUAAAUGUGGCAAGGUGAAAGGUUUUAGUCCUACACAGUCUGGUAGGAUUGUAUUAGUUGCCAACAAAGUUUAGAAGAUGCUUUCUAGCAAGUUUUUUAGUCUCCAACUAAUGAGAAGUGUUUGGCAUAGGCUACAUCAAGUAUAUGCUUAUAAGCUAAUUAUCAAAGUAUAGAUCACAAUUCAAAACAAAAAGGUUGACACUUGCUUAAUAAUGGGUUUUCUUCAUGAAAGUUACAAUGUUACGUUGUUCUCAUUAUGAGAAUUUUGGUGCAAUGUAAUAUAUGUGUUAUUAGGUUGAUUGUAUGUUCAUAGUCAGUUUACGUGUCUAAGAACAUGUAGGCAUUUGAUUAAAAGCUUGCAGGUUCACAUUGCACUGAACUUUGAGAAAUCUUAGUAUCGGUAUUCUAUUACAUCCACUAAUUUAAUUUCUUGACCGUGAGAGAAAGAUGACACCGAAAAUUAUGAAAUAGAUUAACAACAACUCAACAUUUACUUUGAAUAGACAUAAAAGUUAGGCCUCCAAGCUCAAGUUCCUUAUAGUUGUGUUGUCUGUUUGAUGAAAUCUUCAUAUUCCUCCAAAUUGUUCGUGUGUUUCAUAUCUCUUUUGUGUUUUGUUCUGAACAUUUGACAUGGCUAUGAUUGUAAUUGUUAAGGGUCACAUUGACUGGAUAGUUACUUAUUUUAUAUUGAAUUCAACUAUCAUUACAGGGUAAAUGGUGGAUAGCAAUUAUAAUCAUACUAAAUUUGGAUUAAAUGUGACAUAUGAAGCUCAUUCAUACUUGGCAACGUGGUUGGUCAGUUGAAUUACCCUGAAUGUUGAGAUCAUAAAUAUCGUUUUGAAAAGAUGGCAGGUAAAAAGAGGGGUAAGAAAACAAAGAAGGCUAACGAGACAGCGGUUUCCCGGAGACCACCAGAAAACCUUGCGAUUAGAAUGUUUGAAUGUUAAUGUUUGGUGGAUUUGUGGAUUUGCGAGGGUGAAGUAGUCUAAUGUUGUAGAUUAACUUAGUGUAGACUAACUUAGUGUAGACUAGUUUAAUGUUUUGUGGAUGUUUACAAAUGUUGAAGUAGUUUAAUGUUGUUUUGAUGUUUGCGAAGGUUGAAGUAGCUUAAUUAAUGUCUCUUGUGAAUGUUUGAUUGACGUUUUUAUUCAACUUUGAAGUAGUUUCGAAUUGAAUUUGAUGUUUUGGUGGUUGUAAUAUAUGUGUUGUAAUAGUAGCUUAUUGUUUUAUGUAUUUAUAGUAGUUUGGUGUAUUGUUGGCA